AGACACUCAGUGAGAAUAAUCUAAAAGGAAUAGUUCACCUCAAAAUAAAGCUAUUGUUGUUUCUCUAAAUACUUUUAAUAUAUCUACACAAUUAUAUCAAGACUAGAGAUGUGAAGGUGUUAACACAAGGUUUUCAAAUAAGCACCUUAUGAAGUUGUUCAGGCUUGUUGGAAAACAGAUGCUUAUUCACUAUCAAACAACACAGUCAUUCGUUUGCGUCAUGUGUGUGUCCAACUGACCAACGUAAGCCCAAUUACAUUGACUCUCAAUUCAGCUCUCUUUUGGUCUCCACCAACUAGGGGAAACUAGUAAUGAUGUUUGUCGUUAACAGGUACCAUAGAGCAGGUUUUCCAAGCGGUAACAGUCAAUCAAAAUUGUAAAGUCGCAGGCUUUAAAACCAAAACAAUAAGCUUAAGAGAUUCUCUGUUGGCCAGUCUCAUUACAUUAAGUAAUUUCUGUUCAGCUCUAGUUGAACACACAAUUCAGUGGCAAUAAAUAGAGAUAUUGAGUUAUAAUUUGAUUACUUUUUACAUUUUCCAGGGCUAUAAAACAAUCACCUGUUGUUUAAAGAUAAUUUGAGAUAAGCCUGAAGCUACAUAUGUAUGACAGAGGACCCAACUUUUGUUUUGGGGUGAACUAUUCCUUUGAUGGUGAUGCCUGUACCGCAGAAAUACAACAGCAUAACACACCUCUGAGAUCUCAGCAAAAGCUGUUAUGGCAAAAAAUGACACAAUUUCCCUUUUUUUUUGUUGAUUUUCCAUUCGUACAGAGCGUCCUGUGCAGUAUGGUGAAUAUGUGUAUGGUGCUGAAGAUUGAGUCCAGCUGAGCACUAAAGAGAAGGAGGCGGCGGGAGAGAAUGAAAGAUGGGAUGGAAAACUUGGGAAAGGGUGAAAUGGAAGGACCACAGAAAAAAAAGAGGGACGUAAAAGAAAAGGGGAGACUGCACACGUGUCUGCCUGACUCCCUGCGGUGAGUGUGUGUGAGUGAGAGACUGAAGAACACCGUCUUCUUGUGUGUGCACCACCGACAUGUACCAGUGACAGUGCAAUGACCAACAGAAAAUGAAUCCACAACCAUGACUGUGUGUGUGUUCUGUGAUGAAAUGAGAGUGUCUUUGAGUGUGUGAACGUUAAGGUGCAGUGGUGCACACGGACCAGCAGCGGCUCUAGAGGGCGGUGAGGCGGCCGGUGAGUGCCGCCUGCAGCUCAGAGGGGAGGAAGACCCCCAGCUCUGUGAUGAUGCCUCCCGUGAUGAGCUGUGGCUCGAGUCUCACCGAGUGCGGUCCCGUAUCCAGCAGUGGCGAGCGAACCGGUGUUGCAGUGUGUGAGGAUGGUGACGGAGUCCCUCGGAACGCCGGACAGGAUGUGCUGGGCGCCAUAGUUUCCGAUCUUCUUGUUGUCGUUGACGUCACGCUCCAGCAUGUCUUCAAUCCAGGAGAUUACACUGCGGGAGGUGGGCACAAGAGACAGUUCCCUUGCUGAGCUCAAAUGAGGAGAUUGUACCAAAAAGGGAGAAUAAGCAAACUCCAUCAACUCACGGGCGGCGCGACCCAUGUUGACGGCAGUGGGCCGAGCCGAGGUCAGGUGGCACAGAGACUCCCUGAUGAAGGUCACAGGGUCAUCACCCCCGGUGCCCGCUCGCAACUCCACCGCAAGGCUGAGGCAGCCGACGAUGGCGAUGGCCGGGGCGCCCCGCACCUGGAGGAGGAGGAGGAAGAAGAGGACAAUCAGCAUCACAUGGAGGACCUCAUCUUUGGUUUCUAUGCCAACUUCUUACAACUGUCCCCCAGUUUUCAUGAGGAUAAUGAAUUUCUCUUCACCAGAGAGUUGUAAGAGGGUGAUGACAGAGCUGCAAGUUGGCAGAGCAGCUUUGCAUAAUAUGAUAUCAUCUGGAGUCAUUUCUCUGUCUCCCAUCAUGACAUCACCCUCUGGUUAUGGUACAUUCCUUCACUCUGACAGGCUAUAACGUCUGUCUGCUACUAUGUGUGUAAGCCGGGUAGACAAAAGAGGGAAUAUCUGCUCAGCCCUUAUAAGUGAGCAUCUGAAAACCUCCCCUGCUAUUUCAGAACUUAUAACUGUCUCUGAUCACCUCCCUGUGCCAGGGCUUCAGGUUCCGAGGGAAAAAUAAGCUGGAUGUGUCACUGAGUGCAGCGUAAGAUCCAAACGCGAACAAAAACCCUGGCAAAGGUCAUUAAUAAUUCAUCAAUAAUCUUUCCCAAAGAAAGAGUAGGAGGGAGGGGGGAGGAGACAGGGGGCAUAUUUCAUGGGUGGGUGGCUGUGUGCGGAUGCCUACUUUGUCGCGCUGGCACAUGAUAAUGUAAAAACUAAACAUAAAGGAUGGUUGUGUAUGAGGGGGGGUUAUAUGGCGGGUGCUGCAGGUGCAUCCAAAACAAAAAUACAGGCCGACAGUGGCAUAUUGGCAAAACAUGCGUGCAGCAGUGUGAGCACAAAAGACCCGAGAAAAAAUACAUGCACGACGGGAGUAAAUGCACAAGCAAGCGGGCAAGCAGGUCGGAUGGGAAGUGGGGGAGAAGGGGAGGAGGAGAGAGAGGAAGGAAGAAAGGAAGGAGCUCCGUACCUUCAUGGACUUGAUGGCCUCGUAAGCGUCCUGCACCGAGCGGAUCUCCUCGUAAGAGGUCUGAUGUGGCAGCAGCAGCUGGUUCAGGAUCUGCAGAGACCCGGCCCGGUAGCGGAUCGAUUCCAGCGUCAUGACCGAACAACAAGGCGGGAUGGCGGGGGAGAAAGAACACGGAGAGACCGGCUGCGGGUGCGCGCACACGCACACACUCUCUCUUUCUCACACACUCACACACACACACACACACACACACUUCCACACUAUUGAGCGGAUACACGUUGAAGGGACAGCGGCCUGGAUGUCGGUAGUCCACGCGAGCCGUAGCAAACAGGAGAAGCUAAGUGUAGCUGCACGAGGAGAAGCAGGAGAAGGUGCGGGUGGGACGGAGUCACGAGAGGAGGAGGUCUGCUGUGUGGCACGGGAGGAUAGACGGGAAGAGGAGUGAGAGAAAGAAACCUUCACACACUGACAGACAGGCAGGGAGGCUGACACGGAACCACGUGUUCAUCCGAGCAGGAAGCCCGAGCCUCGGUGUCCACGCCCACCAAAGUCUCGCGGGUUGUCCAAAGACUCCCCUCUUCUCCUGUUCCUCCUGCGCACCAUCCCCCUCUCAUCUUUCCCCCUUUGUCAGGGGAAAUCUCACAUUCAAACACGUUAUUAGCAUAACACCAAAGCCCCAAGCUUCCCCAGCAACAACAGCAAGCAUUGUCUGAAAAAGAGAAUCUAUGUUUGUCUUACAUUGUUAUUGUUAUAUAGUAUUCAUUAAUGCCAAACCAACCAUUUUGUUCGUUUUAAUAUAUUUAUUUGAAACACACUGUGAACCCGUCUGCCACAAACUACGCUUGUCGAAUUGAAGUUAUUACAUUUUGUUUACCAUAAAGCAAUAUCACAAUAAACUAGUGAGUAUUUCAUCA